rnacentral:lncRNA from 1 species
GGAAAAAGGGAGUGAGGGGGAAAAGGAGGGGUGGAGAGAGAGAGAGAAUAUGAGAGAUAGAGAGGGAGGGAGAAAGAGAGGGAAAGAGAGAGAGGGUGAGAGAGAGAGCGGGUGAGAGAGGGAGAGGGAGAGAGAGAGAGGGAGAGAGAGGGAGAGAGAGAGAGAGCGAGAGAGAGAGAGAGGGAGAGAGGGAGAGAGAGUGUGUGAGAGAGAGAGAGCAGGUGAGAGGGUGAGAGAGAGAGAGAGAGCAGGUGAGAGAGGGAGAGGGAGAGAGAGAGAGAGAGAGAGGGAGAGAGAGGGAGAGAGAGGGAGAGUGAAAGAGAAGAGAAAAGAGAGAAAAGAGGGAGGGAGGAGGGCUAUGGGUGGAGCUGCAGAGGAACAGUCCAGGGUUUGUUUGCUGAUAUUAUUUUAAUGUCAGAACCCUGUUCCAAUGUAAGCAGCAUGGGAGUACUGGCCAUCACUUCAAUCAUAUCCAGGUCAAUAGCCGUACUGUUUUUGCCAUUGCCGUUAGACUUCUCAUUAAACGUGAAUCAAUAAAGGGAUAACCCUGGUGGAUUGUCUAGCCUCCUCUCCACUGAGACAUUGGGGAAGGAGUUUAUAGAACUGUUGGAAUUCGGACCCUCCAAAAACUAUUCUGUCUCAAAAUGUUGUUUUCUCUAGCCCUCCUCUUCCUGCUAACCCCGUUUCCCUCCCUUCAAACUCCAGUAACCUAUGAGAAAAGAAAUGCCACAGGAACAGGAAGUGAACCCAAACCCUACGUCCUACUCACCCUCUCCCUCACAAAACCAAAAACCGCAGCCACGCUCGUCAAAGUCACCAAAGAGACCCCUAAGCCCACUCCGAAAGUCCUAAGCCCAACUGCAGCCAAUCAGACACAUCCAGCCCCCACAAACCCCCUCAAACCUCCAACAGCCACGUUCAUCAAACUCACCAAAGAGACCCCUAAGCCCACUCCAAAAGCCCUAAGCCCAACUGCAGCCAAUCAGACACAUCCAGCCCCCUCGACCCCCCUCAAGCCUCCAACAGCCACGUUCAUCAAACUCACCAAAGAGACCCCUAAGCCCACUCCAAAAGCCCUAAGCCCAACUGCAGCCAAUCAGACACAUCCAGCCCCCUCGACACCCCUCAAGCCUCCAAUAGCCACAUUCAUCAAACUCACCAAAGAGACCCCUAAGCCCACUCCAAAAGCCCUAAGCCCAACUGCAGCCAAUCAGACACAUCCUGCCCCCUCGACCCCCCUCAAGCCUCCAACAGCCAUGCUCGUCAAACUCACCAAAGAGACCCCUAAGCCCACUCCGAAAGCCCUAAGCCCAACUGCAGCCAAUCAGACACAUCCUGCCCCCUCAACCCCC